rnacentral:lncRNA from 1 species
UCUGUACGUUUAUAUACUAUACUGUAUCGUAGUUGUCCAGGUUAAAAAAACGUAGUUCCAAGGUUAAAAAAAGUUAUGUGUUGUGCGACUUCGUUGAUAUCUGCAGGGACGUUGUGUGUGUAUAGUUUGUAGGUUUAGCGUGCGUACAAAGAGCGUGUGUGGGUGUAAUAUGUGUUUGUCUGUACGUUUAUAUACUGUACUGUAUCGUAGUUGUCCAGGUUAAAAAAAAGUUUUAAGUAUACUGUACCGUGUCCAGGUUAAAAAAAAGUUUUAAGGGAGAACUAUUAAUUCGAGACCUUAUGGUUCGGUUUCACAUCACAAAGUUUACGUGAUGUGUGAUGAUGACAUAUGAGCAAGAAUCUACGUCUGUGCACUAUUUUUUGAAAACAAAGAACACCGUAUAUACCUAGCCUUUGUCCGAACCGAACCUUGGAUCUACUUACUUGUAUGUUGCCCUGUACGUCUACGUCUAAGCUUAUGCAUCAUGUUAAUCGACAAAUUAAAUUGCCUACCCUGUC